ACUGGUCUCAGAAAGCACAUUUUCCUUUACGUGGGAAGGACAGCACAAUUAUCCCAAGGUCAGAGGGCUCCAAUUAAUGUGUCCCUGUUGACUCCAGUGUUCUGGAGACCCAAAAACUGUAAUUAAGAUAACAUGCUUAAGUAAACUGUUUCUGCUUCUGUAAACUGCUUUUUUGCAAAGCAGGUUCCUCAUUCCAAACCUUGGGAUGUGAUCAAUACCUUUGUGAUCUUUGCCUAUAUAAGUCUGGUGUUGGGGCUGGGGCAGGCACUGUGAGAUCUGGGAGAGCGAAAUGCUCCCCCAUAGUCCUGGAUUUGCAAUAAAUGUGACUCUUUAAUUCGA